CUAUGUACACUAGUUUUACAUAAGAAACUAAAGCGCUGGUGUUUGGAUGUAGCAGAAUGUAAUGUUAGAAGAAUACACAAGAUACAAAGCUGGUGAUCUCAAAGAAUGCGUGAGAAUGAUACAUGACUUGUAUCUGAGUAGAAAAGUUCAAGUGUGUGGCGACAAUGCCUGUAUCGCCAGAGCUGCCUCUUACGGUUUUUGAAGAUGUCAACAUUUAGUGAGAACUUUUGGUCAUCGGCGAAGAUUUGUUGGUCUCUUUUCUUUGUGGUUUUGGGGUUUGUACAUAUCCUAGGACUACUUUCUAGUUGUGAUUAAGUAUCUAAACUAAUGUUUAAAGAUUUUGGUUACAUGGGUUCUAUUUUUUACCAUGA